rnacentral:rRNA from 1 species
UACGUAGGGUGCAAGCGUUAAUCGGAAUUACUGGGCGUAAAGCGUGCGCAGGCGGUUCUGUAAGACAGAGGUGAAAUCCCCGGGCUUAACCUGGGAACUGCCUUUGUGACUGCAGAGCUUGAGUGCGGCAGAGGGGGAUGGAAUUCCGCGUGUAGCAGUGAAAUGCGUAGAUAUGCGGAGGAACACCGAUGGCGAAGGCAAUCCCCUGGGCCUGCACUGACGCUCAUGCACGAAAGCGUGGGGAGCAAACAGG